CGCCUGGGGAGUGCGGCCGCAAGGUUAAAACUCAAAUGAAUUGACGGGGGCCCGCACAAGCGGUGGAGCAUGUGGUUUAAUUCGACGCAACGCGAAGAACCUUACCUGGCCUUGACAUCCAGAGAACUUUCCAGAGAUGGAUUGGUGCCUUCGGGAACUCUGAGACAGGUGCUGCAUGGCCGUCGUCAGCUCGUGUCGUGAGAUGUUGGGUUAAGUCCCGUAACGAGCGCAACCCCUAUCCCUGGUUGCUAGCAGGUAAUGCUGGGAACUCCAGGGAGACUGCCGGUGACAAACCGGAGGAAGGUGGGGAUGACGUCAGGUCAUCAUGGCCCUUACGGCCAGGGCUACACACGUGCUACAAUGGCGCGUACAGAGGGCUGCCAACUCGCGAGAGUGAGCCAAUCCCUUAAAACGCGUCGUAGUCCGGAUCGGAGUCUGCAACUCGACUCCGUGAAGUCGGAAUCGCUAGUAAUCGCGAAUCAGAAUGUCGCGGUGAAUACGUUCCCGGGCCUUGUACACACCGCCCGUCACACCAUGGGAGUGGAUUGCACCAGAAGUAGUUAGUCUAACCUUCGGGAGGACGAUUACCACGGUGUGGUUCAUGACUGGGGUGAAGUCGUAACAAGGUAACCGUA
rnacentral:rRNA from 1 species